UCUCUAGUGGCGCAAUUGGUUAGCGAGUGGUACUUAUAAUGCCGAGGUUGUGAGUUCGAUCCUCACCUAGGGAA
rnacentral:tRNA from 1 species